UGCAUUUUUAAAAAUUUUACCUUGUGAAAAACGUAAAACGAGCCUCAUAAUCGUGUUGAUCGCAGCGGAGUACCAAGAAGGAGAAGAAGAAAGAAGAAGACGAGGUUAGAGACGUGUUGAUCGGGCGGCGGCGGCGGCAGCAGCAGAAGAGACGAUGCAGAUCCGGGGAUCUGGUUCCCGCCCACUGCCCAACUCCCGGAUAUCCGCCGUCAUGCUCACAAUGAUCGCCACCAUGGCUUCCUUCUAUGUUGCCGGCCGAAAUGGUGACGUCGAACCAUUUUUUUUUUUUUAUCCAGCCUAUGGCAGGACGCACAGAGAAGGGGUUAUCUCAUUGAGGAACUGGGUCGAAGGAUUGGCCAGGUUCUUUUUAGGUUUUGUUUUGUGAAUCUUCAUCAACUUCUGUAAAGUGAAUAGCGUUGUCGUUUUCAAAUUUUCCCACUAUCGUAUUCCGUUUGAGCUGAAGUGCGACAAAAUUUAGGGAAAAUCUGCUAUAUCAGUUGAUGAGACGCUGAAGUUGGUAGACUGCAGGCAACAACACAAAAAACUAGCGGCUCUAGAGAUAGAGCUUGCUGCGGCAAGACACAAAGGGUUUGUUGGAGAGUACUCUUCAUAGACCAACGGGACUUUUUCAAAGAAAAGACUGUUAGACCCCGUAAUUAUUUUGAUGUGAUCAACCAAAUUGGUUAGGUCCUGCUUUGUGUUUGAUCCCUGUGUCUGAGUGUGCAGGAGCUUAGGAGCGCAGGAAGUUGAGCGGAAGAUGUAGCUAGCGAGAAGGAUGGC